rnacentral:ribozyme from 1 species
AAAGAGGGGGGGAAACGAGAAAAAAGACAAAAAAGAAAAGGGUAAAUGCACCCUCUUUUCGCGUCAUCUCUCCUCCUCCCUCUCUUUUUGCCUACCCUCUCUCUCUCUCUCUCUUUUUC